UAAAAAUUAAAAAAAAAAAGCCUUAAAACCCUACACUAAUACUGUGUCAUUAAGAUAAAAUAAUAAAAGACGAAAGAACCUCCAUUUUUGUUUUCUAAGGCUUUGAGCAGGUCGGAUGCUGACUAGCAGGGUGACCCAAGAAUUGAAGCUCUUUUUUAUCAUAAAUCUCCAAAGAGAAAUCCCUAAGCAUCUGCGCGCUACCAGUAUUAGCACUAGCAGCACCAUUACAAGCACAAUUACCACCAGAACUAUUGGUUGUGCUCGUUCCUGAAUUCGAACUCAUUGACCCCAUUGGAGAAGAAGACCCACCCGAUCCCACUGAAUUCGAAACCCCAUCACCCAAUUGGAUCCCAGGUUGCAUGGCCGAAACAAAACUGGAUAUGGGCUUUGCCGCUACGUUAAAAAAUGGGGUCGCAGCAGCAGGUAUUGCCCACAAUUGAGGCUGAUUGUAAUUGGACCCACCACCAGAUAAACCAGCAGAUUGUGGCAACAUAAAAGUGCCCAUAGGCCACCAAGGCACUAACCCUUGCACACAAGCUCCCCCUAAAUUUGGUAAUAAUGCUGCUGCUGUUGUUAUCGGCGUAAUAGGAGCCAAACCUGAAGAUACAGAACUCUGGUGCUCAUUAACGUCGGUAAAAUCGCUAUUUGAAGGUCUCUUACGCCUCUUCCUCGACAGCAAGUCAUCGCCGUUGGGUCUUGCUGGGGAAGUAGUUGGGAUUUUGAGAGUUCCAUUAAUGGAAACUGCAAUAGCAGGGACGGUUCCGGUACCAGUAGCUUCAAUAAUAGCUGGUUCGGCGUGCUCCAAAAGCCACCGGAUGGUUUCGCCGUCUGACUUGUGGCCCAACUCUCGGGUUAGUUGGAAAAUCCUAGCCGCACAUGUGGCAGGCAUACGGAUCCUACGGCCACGCCCCUCCACCUUCGUAUGGCGAUCCUUGGAAGGUCUUUUGGCCGGAGUUAGUGCCCGAUUGUUUGACUGAGGUACCUGUAAGAGGCUAAUUGGGAGAGUGUUGUCGUUGUUGUUAUCAUCAUCAUCUAAUUCUUGGCCAUCUAUGUCUGUGAGUUCUUCUUCUUUAAGCUGAAUCGUGGAUUCAGGUCCGGCUUGGCCUUCGGGGUCCGGAGGUUCCACCAUAGAAGUCUCGGAAGAGGAGAAAUUCGGGUUUAUGCUUUGUUCUCGAUCGAUUUCUUCUAUUGUGUGGUAUUGAUUUGAGUCCAUGUUGGAGAGUAAGAAACUAUAACACAGGGCAAAUUCAGAGAAUUUUGAGAAAUAUACACAAACAAUUAAUUAAAAAAAAAAGAAAAGAAAAGAAGUUUGACAAAAUCAGGUUGACUGGGCUGGGGUUUUGAUUUUUUGCCGGGGAAAGAUUACAGACACGAGUACGGAAAAACAUAUAAUAUAAAAUUUAAAAGUAAAAGUAAU
rnacentral:misc_RNA from 1 species